UAGUGAUAAUUGGUCUAAACUCAUUCUUCUUCAAGCGUUUGUAUUUGCUUCCGUUCAUAUAGACGGUAUCUGAUCAUCGCAACAGCAAUUUCGCUUGCUUUUAUUGUGUGGGAUUGGGCAUGAAGCUCCCUGUUAAUAGUUUCCGCUAAAUCCUGAUGCUGGCUCAGGUAUUGAUGGAAUGCUAGUGGGGUUCAGAGUUUCAAUACAGGUUUUUGCGCAGGUUUAGCAAAAGUGUUGGCUGGCUACUGUAUAAACUAUCAACCUCGUUAGCAACAUCAUAGGGAUGUGGGCCGAUGUUUCUUAAAUUCCACUGUUCUCUUUCUCUUUUAUAUACUUGCCAGCAGUGGAAGAGAAGAGAGUGAACUGUGAAGUGGAAGUGGUCCUUAUGAUAAUGUAUGUACUCUUUCAUAAGUCUUUAUUGUGCCUCUUUAUAUCAUCUUGCUCAUCACAUGCCCUACCCUAGAGGCAUUUACUUGUGGACCCCUGUAUAGUUGGGAUUGAUGUUAACAUUCAAGUAGGAGUAGAACAGUAUUCUUUUGAAUUUUGGAUUACUCUCGAGAUUUUUUUUAAAAUUUUUUUAUUUUUUAGUGAAAUAAAGGCACA